AGUUUUUACAUAAUUGUAUAUUCAAAAUUUCGAAAUAUUUACAAUAUGUAAUCCUCUAUGAAUCUGAUCAUGCUAGCAAUAUUUUGCCAGAGGCCGCACAGUCUUCUCCUUUCUCUCUUGCCACUACUCGAACUCCACCUUGGUUUGAUCAAUAUCGGUCUUAGCUUGUCAUUGCUGCUCUCUUGAUUCCUCAAAUUUGCCUGCAAUUUUGAUAAAGCAAAUUAACACUAGAAAACAAAAAUAAUUGAUCAUAUAUAAACUUUUCAAUAGGUCCAGAAUGGUCAAAUAUUUUCUAGAGAAGUUUAUAGAUUACCUUCUCAGAAAAAAAAAUUCAUAUGUCUCUCUAAUGACUUAAUUAAUUAUUACAAACUUCACUAAUAUCUCCUUAACAUGCUUAUAUGACCAAUUUAUGAGAUAAUGAAACUCUCAGUAAUUUUAACCAGGAUAGUAAAACUCCAAAUAUUUUACAAUACAACUCAAUCUCUUGCCCUAGAUUUUUUUUUUUAACAAAGCCUUAAUCAAGGAACAAACAUGUAGUCCUACAUUAUCCUUUCAUGGAAAAAUUAUAGGAAAGAAACCUAUAGAUAUAUUAACAUAAACAACAAUGUAACAUACCUAGGAAAUAGCAAGAGAGUCCAUUCGCACCAAUAAAAUGGGAAUAUCAGUAAAAAAAUCCAUAAUUGCCUGUAACUACAUAAGAAAAGGAUCAAAAUUAAUUUCAUAAAAAACUAUUAAAAGCAUUCCCUUAAUCAUAUUUUAGAAGCUUCAACCGUAAACAGAUAUAUUAUUACUGAUAUACCAAUCUAAUAAUAAUGAACAUAUAGAUUAAAAUUUUUCUCUUCCCAAUUUUUCUUUUCCCAAUUAACUAAGAAGAAGAAUAAAUAUACUUUUAUCAAAUCCAGCAUAAGUUACAAAUGAAGUCUGAUGUGCACAUUGAAAAUUGAAAAUAAUAAAGAGGAAGAAAUAAAGUAACCAAAGAAAUAUUGUUAUAUAUAUAGAUAUUUACUAGUGAUAAAAAGUUGAGAUUCAAAGAAGAUAGAAAUUACAUGCAUGUACUAGUGGUUGAAGAAGGCGUUGAGGAAGUGGGUGAGGGUGUGACGGCCGGAGAGGUUAAAAAGAAAUAAGGGGCUAGGUUUUGGGAUCUCAUUCUUGUUUUAUAACCAUAUUCUUUAAUUUUCUAACUUUUUAUGGACAAACAUUAUAAAUGUAAUACAAGUAGUG
rnacentral:lncRNA from 1 species